GAUGAACGCUGGCGGCGUGCCUAAUACAUGCAAGUCGAGCGAACAGACGAGGAGCUUGCUCCUCUGACGUUAGCGGCGGACGGGUGAGUAACACGUGGAUAACCUACCUAUAAGACUGGGAUAACUUCGGGAAACCGGAGCUAAUACCGGAUAAUAUAUUGAACCGCAUGGUUCAAUAGUGAAAGACGGUUUUGCUGUCACUUAUAGAUGGAUCCGCGCCGCAUUAGCUAGUUGGUAAGGUAACGGCUUACCAAGGCGACGAUGCGUAGCCGACCUGAGAGGGUGAUCGGCCACACUGGAACUGAGACACGGUCCAGACUCCUACGGGAGGCAGCAGUAGGGAAUCUUACGCAAUGGGCGAAAGCCUGACGGAGCAACGCCGCGUGAGUGAUGAAGGUCUUCGGAUCGUAAAACUCUGUUAUUAGGGAAGAACAAAUGUGUAAGUAACUAGGCACGUCUUGACGGUACCUAAUCAGAAAGCCACGGCUAACUACGUG
rnacentral:rRNA from 1 species